ACUUACAGAGUUAUUGAGCAAACCACAAUAUGUACUAGGGUUUUGAAAGUUUUGAACCUAAAUAUUUCAGAAAGUAGGCCAUUAGGGCCCCAUCAGAAAUUUUAACUUAACCCCACUGCCAGAAUGUCCAACUUCCGACUUUACAUAAGCAAACUCAAUACUGACUACAUUGAAUCAUGAAAAUUAAAGGCAGCAAUCUGCUCAGCCUAGAAGUUAAGUAAGUUAAUCUCAGAACAACACUAGGGCAAAGAUAUACCUAAACCCAAAAUUUACUAAAACAAAUGCAUAAAUCGAAGUACUAUUGUUGCCCAUUACGAGUAGGCGCUUCAGCCCAAUUUCCCAAUAAAGACACCUUAAACCAAACAAAUGAACAUCACCAGAUCAAAUACAAAAUGAAAAAUAUCAGCGUGCACCAAUCUAUAGCCAUUUCCUGAUUUGGGUGACUUGUUUAGGCAUGCAUUUGCUAGCCACCAAAGUUAUAAUUCAGGAUGGAUCCCAUAAAUCAGUCUCAAUUCUACUAAAAAAUUCUGAUGCCAAGAAUCAGAGUUCGAUGAAAGAAGAUAUUGCGCCUAUGAGCCAUACACAAAGACAUCGAUCCAAUUCCAGAUCACCAUAAGUAACUACAUAAAGGCAUAAUCAACUAAAUCACAAAGAAAAAUAACAGACCGGAAUCAAAGCGGGAAAAAAAAUAAACAACGAAUGGUAUUAAGCCCCAAAUCAGCUAGUAAUUCAAGAGAAAUGGAUAUAUCUGAGGGUUUUGCAUUUACAGUCUCGAAAGACGAUAUUGUCUCCCCUUUGUGAGAGAACGAAAAUCUGUGAGAUCAUGGCGGCGAGUAGUAGACCCGCUAACGUCGAGCUUCGAAAGAGGAAUAGCAGAGAUAUCUGAAUUUCAGUUCCAUGAUAUUCGAUAUGACUGCGUCUUCCCCUUUGUUUUCUUUUAGCUUAAAGGGGAAAUAUCUGUAUAAGUCAUCGAGCUUAUACUGUUCAAAUACGGUGCAUCUCAAAAAUCCCAGAGGCAUGGCGUGUUUGAUAACAGGAACCAACCAAAUGAACUCAAAAUUGGAAGGUACUGAAGAACAGUAAACUAGAUUUACUUAAGAAGUUCAUGAUUUCGAUAUUUG
rnacentral:lncRNA from 1 species